rnacentral:rRNA from 1 species
GAUGAACGCUGGCGGCGUGCCUAAUACAUGCAAGUAGAACGCUGAAGGAGGAGCUUGCUCUUCUGGAUGAGCUGCGAACGGGUGAGUAACGCGUAGGUAACCUGCCUGGUAGCGGGGGAUAACUAUUGGAAACGAUAGCUAAUACCGCAUGACAACAGUUAUUGCAUGAUAACUGUUUAAAAGGGGCAACUGCUCCACUACCAGAUGGACCUGCGUUGUAUUAGCUAGUUGGUGAGGUAACGGCUCACCAAGGCGACGAUACAUAGCCGACCUGAGAGGGGGAUCGGCCACACUGGGACUGAGACACGGCCCAGACUCCUACGGGAGGCAGCAGUAGGGAAUCUUCGGCAAUGGACGGAAGUCUGACCGAGCAACGCCGCGUGAGUGAAGAAGGUUUUCGGAUCGUAAAGCUCUGUUGUAAGAGAAGAACGAGUGUGAGAGUGGAAAGUUCACACUGUGACGGUAUCUUACCAGAAAGGGACGGCUAACUACGUG